rnacentral:rRNA from 1 species
UACGUAGGGUGCAAGCGUUAAUCGGAAUUACUGGGCGUAAAGCGUGCGCAGGCGGUUUUGUAAGUUUGUCGUGAAAUCCCCCGGGCUCAACCUGGGAAUGGCGAUGAAGACUGCAAGGCUAGAAUCUGGCAGAGGGGGGUAGAAUUCCACGUGUAGCAGUGAAAUGCGUAGAGAUGUGGAGGAACACCGAUGGCGAAGGCAGCCCCCUGGGUCAACACUGACGCUCAUGCACGAAAGCGUGGGGAGCAAACAGG